AAAACUGAUUUGUGUAUGUUGGUUGAGAGUGCACGCUUAAUUUUCAUGCAUAAGUUUGAUGCUAGGAUAUAAGGGAAUUUCACCUAAUCGUUAUGAACUUAUAUUCACAAGUAGUAAAGGUUGUUGAUCACAAUCGUGUUAAGUAAAUUCUUGGCAUGAGUUUCAUGCAAUUCAUAGUAACGAGUGCUUCGCCAAUGCUUAUGAUUUUCAUAGAACUUAAUGAUUCUUGCUU
rnacentral:lncRNA from 1 species